UACGGGGGGAGCAAGCGUUGUUCGGAUUUACUGGGCGUAAAGGGCGCGUAGGCGGCCACCGCAAGUCGAUUGUGAAAUCUCCGGGCUUAACCCGGAAAGGUCAACCGAUACUGCGGGGCUAGAGUGCAGAAGGGGCAACUGGAAUUCUCGGUGUAGCGGUGAAAUGCGUAGAUAUCGAGAGGAACACCUGCGGCGAAGGCGGGUUGCUGGGCUGACACUGACGCUGGAGCGCGAAAGCUAGGGGAGCGAACGGG
rnacentral:rRNA from 1 species